rnacentral:pre_miRNA from 1 species
GGUGUUUGGAAUGAGGUUUGAGCCAAGAUCCUUCCAGUCAUCCAAAAUGUUUAAUUUCUUUCAUUGUAUGUAGUUCCAUGGAUGGAUCUCGGACCAGGCUUCAUUCCUUACACCAG